AUUGAACGCUGGCGGCAGGCCUAACACAUGCAAGUCGAGCGGAUGACGGGAGCUUGCUCCUUGAUUCAGCGGCGGACGGGUGAGUAAUGCCUAGGAAUCUGCCUGGUAGUGGGGGACAACGUUUCGAAAGGAACGCUAAUACCGCAUACGUCCUACGGGAGAAAGCAGGGGACCUUCGGGCCUUGCGCUAUCAGAUGAGCCUAGGUCGGAUUAGCUAGUUGGUGAGGUAAUGGCUCACCAAGGCGACGAUCCGUAACUGGUCUGAGAGGAUGAUCAGUCACACUGGAACUGAGACACGGUCCAGACUCCUACGGGAGGCAGCAGUGGGGAAUAUUGGACAAUGGGCGAAAGCCUGAUCCAGCCAUGCCGCGUGUGUGAAGAAGGUCUUCGGAUUGUAAAGCACUUUAAGUUGGGAGGAAGGGCAGUAAGCUAAUACCUUGCUGUUUUGACGUUACCGACAGAAUAAGCACCGGCUAACUCUGUGCCAGCCGCCGCAGUAACAC
rnacentral:rRNA from 1 species